rnacentral:rRNA from 1 species
GACGUAGGAUGCAAGCGUUGUCCGGAUUCAUUGGGCGUAAAGAGUUCGUAGGUGGUUUGUUAAGUCUGGUGUUAAAGAACGGGGCCUAACCCCGAAAGUGCACUGGAUACUGGCAGACUUGAGUGCGGUAGAGGCGAGUGGAAUUCCCAGUGUAGCGGUGAAAUGCAUAGAUAUUGGGAAGAACACCGGUGGCGUAAGCGACUCGCUGGGCCGUAACUGACACUGAGGAACGAAAGCCGGGGUAGCGAAUGGG